CUUGCUCAAUAUUAGAGCUAUAAAAAUUAGGCAUUCUUUUUCAAUUUAGACAUCUCUAGGUCUUUUUACAAUUCAUGGAAAGAAACAUGCUUGUCAAGGAUGUGAUUCAUAUUAGUUCAGGAGUGCUAUAUAAGGUGAUAAAUCACCCUAUGCUGUGGCUUGUUUCUGCUCUACAAAAAGCAUAAGCUGAUUAACUCAAAUAUAGACACCUGCCUUUUACACCAACUGUCUCUAUUUAUAUCUGAAAUGAUAGCCCCAAAUCUGUGCCAGCUCCUCUGCUGGAAAAUGCAGGUGUCUGCCAUUUGAAAUCUGUGUCAAUCUAUGGCAGCUGAGAGCCUCAUGCAGUGCUUUGCCUUAGCAAACCCACCCCAGUGCUUCUGGGUCUUGGUCAAUGGCAAUGCCCUUUGUAGAAGGGAAACACAAAGACCAGUAUAUUAAAUAAUAUCUAUUUUACAAAGUGCAGUGAAAUGUUUUAUUUACCAUGAAGGCUACAUUUCAUAGUCCAGAUAUUCUUGUUAGAGAAAUUGUAAACCAAAUUACUUCCUCUUUCAGUGUCUCAGUUAAGCUACUUGUGCAUGCAAAGGUAGAUUUUCCAUCAAAUUCAGUGGGUGGGAGAUAAGGCUGUAUAAUUGUCCAAUAAAACUGUUGUCUAGAAAAUCAUCUAGAAAAGCUUUUAAGUACUAAACUUUGUUUCAAAUCCUCACCUACUCAUUGAUACUGUAAUUGAAUCUAGAAUCAUCUGCACCUGCUUCUGCUCAUGUUGGGAGUUGCAAUUGCUCUGGUGUGACCACAGAAGGGCUAUUGGCAAUCAGCCUGAAAUUGUUAAAGGGUGAGAGGGAGGUGCUGAGAGAAAGUUUGUAGCUGGCCUUUAGAGCUGACCUGGGCAUAGAACCAGGAUGUGAGUGCAGAGCUCCAUAAGCAGAGGACAUUAUAAGCUGCUAUGUCUCCAGGCUUUCUUCUGCCUAAUAAGGCCUUAGGCAUGCUGCACACUGCAGAGCUUGGAUCUCAAAGCUGGGGCUAUGGCAAGAAGUGCUGGAGCUGUAGGGAGAGUACUGCGUGUCCCCUUCCUUUCAGGAAGCCGGCGUAGUUUACUUGUUGGAGUGUGCUAUUAUCUGAGCUGCAAUUCCUUGUUUCUGAGUUCAUGAGUCUUACCUUAAAGCAAGUGACCUGUAACUCCUGGGUUUUCU
rnacentral:lncRNA from 1 species